GCAUGAUGAGUAAUCAGAGGAGUGAGUCUCUCAACUCAAGGCUUCAUGUGCACCUGAACAGGAAGAUGCAGCUUGUUGAUUUGUUGCAGCAUGUUGAGCACUGUGUAUCCAUAAUGCGUAAGAAUGAAGCAGCAUUAGAUGCAGUAGCAACACAUACGAUACCCUUCACUAAGCUGAAUGCACACCCUCUGGAGAUUGCUGCCUCUUAUAUUUAUACAACUGUGAUGUUUCCAAAGGUAAAGCGUCAGAUUGUCGAAGGGGCAAAUUGGCAGGUCACGGACCGGGUAGCAUGUGAUGGUUUGGUCAUGUUUGGAGUUUUGCGCAAAGCCCCAUAUGAUAAAGUCCCAUAUGGCAGGGAUGCUACAGAAUUGCAAGGUAAUUAAGGUAAGGAUGCUGAGGACUUGCAUGCAAAAAAAUUGGAUGCUGAGGAUCCCAAUGACUUGGAUGGUAAGGAUGUUGAGGACUUGCAUGCAAAAAACUUGGAUGCUGAGGAUCCCAAUGACUUGGAAGGUAAGGAUGCUGAGGACUUGCAUGCAAAAAACUUGGAUGCUGAGGAUCCCAAUGACUUGAAAGGUAAGGAUGGUGUGGACUUGCAUGCCAAAAACCUGGAUGCCAAGGAUCCCAAUGACUUGGAAGGUAAGGACAGUGAGGAGUUGGAUGCAAAAAAGUUGGAUGCACAAGGCGUGGAUGCUAAGCCUGUGGAUUUUAUAUAUCACGUGACUUGUCUGUUUACAGGAGCAAGACUGGAUGAUGCGGCUUGUAAAUGUAAAAAGUUGGAAAGUCAGGAUUACCCAUGCGCACGUAUAUUAUGCGUUCUGGAUCAUCUUGGUGUACGCACAUUUCCAAAAAAAAAUUGUCAAGAAAAGAUGGACAAUGCAUGCCAAGCCAGCGUUCCCUUCUUCGAGGACUGCGAAUACUCAUGUAUGGUCUGAUCACAUGAAUAAGUAUCAUCAACUACGCAACAUGGCUAGUGACGCUUUAUUCAUAGCCGCAGCUAGCGAUUCACAGUCAGAAUAGGUGAUGGAGCUCCUCCAGAGUAUAUUGGUUGAUGGAGAAAAAACUGAUUUGGAUGAAGGCCAUAAAUCAUUUGUUCCUUUGCCGGCAUACUUCUCUGCUGCUCGCGAAUGCUGCACUGAUGACGUGAAAAAUCCAAUCAAAAUAGUUCCAAAAGGGAGACCAACUACCGAAGAAUCGAACAAGAGGAUUAAAUCCAGGUGCGAGCGGAUGAGAGGGAAAAAAAGCAACGAAGAACAAAUCGGGGAAAUCAAAGGUCGCAAGGAGGAAGAAGCGAAAAGAGAAAGACUCAGAGAUAGAAGAAGACACAGAUUCAGAUACAGAAGAAGAGGAAGAUUCAAAAAAAGCAACGAAGUUAGUGCACAUGUUAAUCUCAUUGUUCAUUUCCAUACAUGCUUACAGUGUUAAUAUGUUCUCCCGGAGAGUGUUCACAUGUUUUUCUUCAAUUUACACAGGAAAAAAUGAGAGAAAUCAAAUAGCACAAGGAGGAAGAAGCAAAAAGAAGAGACAGAGUCAGAUACAGAAGAAGAGACAGAGACAGAUACAGAAGAAGAGACAGAGUAGAUACAGAAGAAGAGGAAGAUUCAGGUACAGAAGAAGAGGAAGAUUCAGAUGCAGAAGAAGAGGGAGAUUCAGAUGCAGAAGAAGAGGGAGAUUCAGAUGCAGAAGAAGAGGAAGAUUCAGAUGCAGAAGAUGGUGGGCUGAGGAGGGCUAGGAAGAGACAAUUGGAGGUUGCAAAAGAGGAUUACACAAAACCAAACAAGAAAUGCAAAGGCGCUCCAAAUGUCAAUGCUGGGAGAAAGAAAAAGAACGAUGACAAGGGUGCGCGAGGAAAACCAGUGAAGAAAGACUCUAGGAAGGGCGGUAAAGAACAGGCCGAAGGGGUGAUGAAGACAAAAAGGCCUGCUAGGAAUGUACCACAGGCUGAGCGAAUAAGAGCUGUCAAGUUAGCUUCUGUAGCUAUGAAGAGAAAAUCAGUGAAGAAAGCUAAAGUGAAGUCGAGACAGGAUGUUUAGAUGCACAGGGUCAAGCAGAGAAAACAAAAGGAUUUCUGGGGUCGAAAAAUUGAGAACAAACUAAAGUAGACAGUUUUUCAUGCCGUGAUCCACCUUGUUUCUGAUGUAUUAGACCUAUUUGAUGGACUGCCACUAUUUUUCUGAAUUCAUCGUUUGAUUGGUACACCCUCAUUUUAUUAUGGACGGGUCGACAUGGUAGGCUAGUUAUGAUUUAUCAACAUCGAUGAAACAAUGCAUUUUUAGUGAAGUUGGUUUUGUGUAUUUUUUUUUCAUUUUUUACAUAAUAUAUUGCUGAAA